UAGUGGAGCAGUUUUUCUGCUUAAUUUCCAUAACGAACGAGAUCCGAGUCCACUUAUAAUAACGGGUAGCAUUAGUUUUCCACUGAUCUUUGUGUUCACUUCACCGUAGAACACUGGUUUUAGCGGUUAACCUAUGCAAGUCCGCUUUAUAGAGGCACAAUAUGCGAUAUAAUAGCAUAUAGAAGUUGGACCAUAACA
rnacentral:rRNA from 1 species